AUAGGAGUAUGCAGUUUAUAAUUUAAAAGUAACUAUUGUAUAUUAAUAUAAAGUAAAUUAUUUUUUUAUUUAGUAUUAGAAGUAUAGAAUUAAUGUUGUAAAAGUACUGUAAAGGAUUAUGUGUUUAUUAAAAUGAUGAUUAGUAAAGAUUAAGUUUUGUACCUUUUGUAUAAUGGAUUGAUGAUUGGUAUUGAUAUAUAACAUUUUCUCGAAGCAAAAGGAUUUACUUGGUAGGUACAUGUUAACGUUGUAUAGUUAUAUGUUGAUUAUUAAGUGGUAGUGAUAUGUUUAACGUUUUUUGUGAUAGCUAGUUUAUUAGUGAAAAUAUUUAAGUAUUAUUAUAUUACAAGGUUAAUUAAUAUAAUAAGUCGUGUGGGGGAUAAGCUUCAUAUGUUUUAUAGAGCAAAAUUUAUAGUGAUAUGGUUUAAGUAGAAUUAAUAAUGUUUUUCUUUUUAAGUAGUUUAAACCUUUUAUUAUCUUUAUUAUGUUCAGGUGAAUAACUAAUAAAUGUUUAAUAAUUAAAUAUAAAUAAAUAUAAUGUUAGUAUGAGUAUUUAUGUGUGAUAUAACUAAACAGAUUUCUAUAGAUGUUUAGAGUAAAUGUAUUAACUAAUAACGAAUUAAGAAAAAGGAAUUCGGCAAAUAUUAAUCUCGCCUGUUUAUCAAAAACAUGUCUCUUUGUUUAUUAUAUAUAAAGAGUCGGGCCUGCUCGGUGAACAUGAUUGUUUUAACAGCUGCGGUAUUUUAACUGUACUAAGGUAGCAUAAUAAUUUGCCUUAUAAUUUGAGGCUAGAAUGAAUGGUUUGACGAAGGUUAAGCUGUCUCUAUCUUACUUUUUAGAAUUUAAUUUGCAAAGUGAAAAAGCUUACAUUUCUUAAAGGGACGAGAAGACCCUAAUGAGCUUUAAUUUUAUUAAUUAUCUAUUACGAUAUAUAAAUAAUUAUAUAAAUUUUAAUUGGGGUGAUUAAGGAGUAAAUUAUUAAUUUGAUAACCUCCUUAGGUGUCUUACUGAUAAGUAAAAUAACCAAUUUUGUUGCUUAUACUAGAGUUACCAUAGGGAUAACAGCGUAAUCUAUUUUAAGAGUUCUUAUUGAAAAAUAGGAUUGCGACCUCGAUGUUGGAUUAAAGUAACCUUAAGGUGCAGAAGCUUUAAAAGGUAAAUCUGUUCGAUUUUUAAAACUUUACAUGAUCUGAGUUCAGACCGGCGUGAGCCAGGUUGGUUUCUAUCUUUUAAGAAGAUAGUAGCUUCUUUUAGUACGAGAGGACCAAAGAAAGCUAACAUAAAUGUUAUAAUGCAAAGUUGGCAGAA
rnacentral:rRNA from 1 species